AAGAAAGUGGGCACCCCAGUGUUUGCCUGUUCAAUCUAAAACUAGCAAGCACCACUUCAAAUAAGAUGACACGAAAGACUGCUGAAAAGCUCGGACUAACGGAAAGGCACGAGACUGGAUGUCAUGAGACCCAGGUCUAAUCCCAACUCUGCUACUGGCCUGCUGUCUGACCUUGGCUAUAAUAGCUCUGCUAAUUUAUCAAAAUAAUACGAGCACAUUAAAGGGAAUGGAAAAAGAAUGUGGUGGAUGAAGGAGAUUUGAGAAAAUUAACAUCUUUAACUUGCAAGUAAAUGCAGAAUGAAAAGG